GACGAACGCUGGCGGCGUGCUUAACACAUGCAAGUCGAACGGAAAGGCCCUGCUUUUGUGGGGUGCUCGAGUGGCGAACGGGUGCGUAACACGUGAGUAACCUGCCCUUGACUUUGGGGUAACUUCAGGAAACUGGGGCUAAUACCGGAUAGGAGCUCCUGCUGCAUGGUGGGGGUUGGAAAGUUUCGGCGGUUGGGGAUGGACUCGCGGCUUAUCAGCUUGUUGGUGGGGUAGUGGUUUACCAAGGCUUUGACGGGUAGCCGGCCUGAGAGGGUGACCGGCGACAUUGGGACUGAGAGACGGCCCAGACUCCUACGGGAGGCAGCAGUGGGGAAUAUUGCACAAUGGGCGGAAGCCUGAUGCAGCAACGCUGCGUGCGGGAUGACGGCCUUCGGGGUGUGAACCGCUGUCGCCUGAGACGAAGCGUGAGUGACGGUAAUGGGUAAAGAAGCACCGGCUAACUACGUG
rnacentral:rRNA from 1 species